CGCGGGGUGGAGCAGUGGCAGCUCGCAUGGCUCAUAACCAUGAGGUCGCAGGUUCAAGUCCUGCCCCCGCAACCA
rnacentral:tRNA from 1 species